GGGUAUGUAGCUCAGUUUGGUAGAGCAUUGGACUUUUAAUCCACCGGUCCUGGGUUCGAGUCCCAGUAUACCUA
rnacentral:tRNA from 1 species